ACGUCCGUGGCCUAAUGGAUAAGGCGUCUGACUUACAGUCAGGCGUUUGUGGGUUCGAAUCCCACCGGGCGUG